rnacentral:miRNA from 1 species
AGCUCUGAUACCAUGUUAACUGUU